GUAGCUUGCAUACUUUGCUGACGAGCGGCGGACGGGUGAGUAAGGCUUGGGUAUCUGCCCAGUCGUGAGGGAUAACCAUUGGAAACGAUGGCUAAUACCGCAUACGCCCUACGGGGGAAAGGAGGGGAUCUUCGGACCUUUCGCGAUUGGAUGAGCCCAAGUGAGAUUAGCUAGUUGGUGAGGUAAUGGCUCACCAAGGCAACGAUCUCUAGCUGGUCUGAGAGGAUGACCAGCCACACUGGGACUGAGACACGGCCCAGACUCCUACGGGAGGCAGCAGUGGGGAAUAUUGCACAAUGGGGGAAACCCUGAUGCAGCCAUGCCGCGUGUGUGGAGAAGGCCUUCGGGUUGUAAAGCACUUUCAGUGGUGAGGAAAGGCAGGAGAUUAAUACUCUUC
rnacentral:rRNA from 1 species